UUCACCUGGGAACAUGGCCACCUAAGAUAUUAAUUAAAUAUGUUUAAUAUUUAAACAAUUUGUAUUAUUUAGGGCUGCAACAACUAAUCGAUAAAAUUGUUAAUAAUAGAUUAAAUAAUCGCUGAAAAUCGUCAACAACGAUUCGAUUAAUCGCGUCUGCCCACUGUACACGGAAGACUUCCGCCAUUCGUGUCAAAUUACAGCACUGAAUAAUGCAUUUCUAUGGGCAAAAUGCAUCCAAAAAUAGUGGAGGAAACAGAGUGAGCUAUGCGGCAAAGCCCGAAGAGCCACUCUGAUGCAAGGCCUUCAUAAGGCUGUGUUGAGGGGUUGAAGACAAUAUGCAGUGGACUUUGCAGAGUAUUUAAAGAAGCCAUCAGUGCGGGUUCUUAUAAAGAAAAUGUGUAAUUUCAAGUACUUUAUGGUUCUAGGACAAAAGCUCUGCCCUAGUGAAUGGCAGCUGCCGCUUCUCUUCAUUAGUCGUGCGGGUUUCUACGAACGGGCCUUAAUCUGCUGUCGGAGACAGUGUGAUGUGGCUGGGUGAGCCAAAGCCUCCUGUGUGAGGGGGAGGAAGACAAGGGCCCUUUUGCUGAGAGAUCAUCCUCCUGUUGUUGUGCAGAGCUGCAGACGGGCCCUGUCUGUCCCUGCCAGUGCACAAGCCUCGCUAUCGGCUUCGCCAGACGCUGCCUACGCUUGCCGGCCACUCUGAGAGCGUGCCAGGGAUGGCUUUGUGGAGAUGUGUCUGAUGUGCUCCAUCUUUUCUUUUGGAGGAUAAUUAAAAGAGGAAAUAGUGGUGGAAUAUACACUGAAUAAUGGAGGGAUUGGGGGCGCUUCUGAAGCCAUUCAGAUGUGGUUAUUAUUUAGUUUAUACUUUGUUUACAUGCAGUUUUGUCUCUCUCUCUCUCCUUCGCUACACUCUCUUGGGUGUUUCAUAAAACUUUUUUCUUUUAAUAAUGACUUUAGCCCCAGUUUAGACCCAACAUGUUAUUUUUUAAAAUGUACACUAUAAUGUUUUUGAAAGAAAUCUCUUAUACUCA